CCUUCGAUAGCUCAGUUGGUAGAGCGGUGGACUGUAGAUAGUAAGGAGGGAGAGGAGGCCUUCUGCAGAAUUGCAUCCAAGAUCACCCCUCCAGUCAAAAUAUAGUAGUAAUCCAUAGGUCACUGGUUCAAAUCCGGUUCGAAGGA
rnacentral:tRNA from 1 species